GUGCCAGCAGCCGCGGUAAUACGUAUGUCGCAAGCGUUAUCCGGAUUUAUUGGGCGUAAAGCGCGUCUAGGCGGGAAAGAAAGUCUGAUGUUAAAAUGCGGGGCUCAACUCCGUAUUGCGUUGGAAACUCCUUUUCUAGAGUAUCAGAGAGGUGGGCGGAACUACAAGCGUAGAGGUGAAGUUCGUAGAUAUUUGUAGGAAUGCCGAUGGAGAAGUCAGCUCACUGGAUGAAUACUGGCGCUAAAGCGCGAAAGCGUGGGGAGCAAACAGGAUUAGAUACCCUUGUAGUCC
rnacentral:rRNA from 1 species